rnacentral:rRNA from 1 species
GCGCACCAGGCGCGAAUUUUCACAAUGGACGAAAGUCUGAUGGAGCGACGCCGCGUGGAGGAUGAAGGUUCUUGGAUUGUAAACUCCUGUCACUGCAGAACAAGGGUGCGCUCGUUAAUAGCAAGCGCAUUUGAUGGUAUGCGGAGAGGAAGGGACGGCUAACUCUGUGCCAGCAGCCGCGAUAAGACAGAGGUCCCGAGCGUUGUUCGGAUUCAUUGGGCGUAAAGGGUGUGUAGGAGGUCGGGUAAGUCAGGUGUGAAAUCUCAGAGCUUAACUCUGAAACUGCGCUUGAUACUGCUCGGCUAGAGGAUCGGGAGGGGUAACGGAAUUUAUGGUGUAGCAGUGAAAUGCGUAGAUAUCAUAAGGAACACCGGUGGCGAAGGCGGUUACCUGAAGAUUCCUGACUCUGAAACACGAAGCCAGGGAGCAAACGGGAUUAGAUACCCGCGUAGU